AAAAUUGUAUUUUUUUAAAUAAAGUUUUAUAUUAUUGGUGUUGGAUUUACAACUACGACGAUAAAUGAAUUUCGUAAUAAACAUUGCGGACGUGGGGGCAGUACCCACCACCUCCACCAUAUAGGUUUAUGGGGG
rnacentral:tmRNA from 1 species